rnacentral:rRNA from 1 species
GCGCGAAAGCGUGGGGAGCAAACAGGAUAGAUACCUGGUAGUCACGCGUAAACGAUGUCGACUUGGAGGUUGUGCCCUGAGGCGUGGCUUCCGGAGCUAACGCGUUAAGUCGACCGCUGGGGAGUACGGCCGCAAGGUUAAAACUCAAAUGAAUUGACGGGGGCCCGCACAGCGGUGGAGCAUGUGGUUUAAUUCGAUGCAACGCGAAGAACCUUACCUACUCUUGACAUCCAGAGAACUUUCCAGAGAUGGAUUGGUGCCUUCGGGAACUCUGAGACAGGUGCUGCAUGGCUGUCGUCAGCUCGUGUUGUGAAAUGUUGGGUUAAGUCCCGCAACGAGCGCAACCCUUAUCCUUUGUUGCCAGCGGUUAGGCCGGGAACUCAAAGGAGACUGCCAGUGAUAAACUGGAGGAAGGUGGGGAUGACGUCAAGUCAUCAUGGCCCUUACGAGUAGGGCUACACACGUGCUACAAUGGCGCAUACAAAAAGAAGCGACCUCGCGAGAGCAAGCGGACCUCAUAAAGUGCGUCGUAGUCCGGAUUGGAGUCUGCAACUCGACUCCAUGAAGUCGGAAUCGCUAGUAAUCGUAGAUCAGAAUGCUACGGUGAAUACGUUCCCGGGCCUUGUACACACCGCCCGUCACACCAUGGGAGUGGGUUGCAAAAGAAGUAGGUAGCUUAACCUUCGGGAGGGCGCUUACCACUUUGUGAUUCAUGACUGGGGUGAAGUCGUAACAAGGUAACCAAGGGCGAAUUCUG